rnacentral:lncRNA from 1 species
UGUAAAGGAAGCUCCCUAGGAGGCACCUGUGACAAUAUGAGAGGUCAGAGGUUGCAGUGAAAGUGUUGCGAGAACAUGUCUCCGGGCAAAAUGUUGAAAUGUGACUUUUCAACAAACAUCCCUUGGCUGCUGAAUCGGUCCAUCGUCAAUCAACUGAAGGGAGGACAGUGGAUGUUCUCAGAGUUAAAGAGGGUUUAUUUGAAGUGUCUAAUUGGAGGAAGGAUUUCCUGGUACUUGACCACAAAUAUUCUCAAUGUAG